ACAGCCUAGGCUUGCUGUGUGAGUCCGAUGUGGUCCGGGUCCACCCUGCUCUGUACUACUACUCGGCUUUCUUGUCAAGAUGCCUGAGGAAGUGCACCAUGGAGAGGAAGAGGUGGAGACCUUUGCCUUUCAGGCAGAAAUUGCCCAGCUGAUGUCCCUCAUCAUCAACACUUUCUACUCAAACAAAGAGAUUUUCCUCUGGGAGUUGAUCUCUAAUGCUUCUGAUGCCCUGGACAAGAUUCGGUAUGAGAGCCAGACGGACCCUUCCAAGUUGGACAGCGGGAAAGAGCUGAAGAUUGACAUCAUCCCCAACCCUCAGGAGCGCAUGCUGACUUUGGUGGACACAGGCAUUGGCAUGACCAAGGCUGAUCUCAUAAAUAACUUGGGAACCAUUGCUAAGUCUGGUACAAAGGCGUGUUCAUGGAGGCUCUCCAGGCUGGUGCAGACAUCUCCAUGAUUGGGCAGUUUGGUGUCGGCUUCUACUCUGCCUACCUGGUGCCGGAGAAAGUGGUUGUGGUCACAAAGCAUAACAAUGACGAGCAGUAUGCCUGGGAGUCUUCCGCUGGUGGAUCCUUCACCAUACACACAGACCACGGUGAGCCCAUUGGCCGGGGUACCAAAGUGAUCCUUCACCUCAAAGAAGACCAGACAGAGUACUUAGAGGAGAGAAGGGUCAAGGAAGUGGUGGAGAAACACUUGCAGUUCAUAGGCUACCCCAUCACCCUCUACCUGGAGAAGGAACGAGAGAAGGAGAUCAGUGCUGAUGAAGCAGAGGAAGAAAAAAGGGAGAAGGAGGAGGAAGAUAAGGAGGAUGAGGAGAAGCCUAAGAUUGAGGAUGUGGGAUCUGACGAGGAGGAUGAGAGCAGCAAAGAUAAGAAAAAGAAAACAAAGACGAUCAAGGAGAAGUCCAUUGACCAGGAAGAGCUGAAUAAGACGAAGCCCAUCUGGACCAGAAAUCCUGAUGACAUCACUCAAGAGGAAUAUGGUGAAUUCUAUAAGAGCCUCACCAAUGCCUGGGAAGACCACUUGGCAGUCAAGCACUUCUCUGUAGAAGGGCAGUUGGAAUUCAGGGCAUUGCUCUUCAUUCCCUGGCGAGCUUCCUUUGACCUCUUUGAGAACAAGAAGAAGAACAACAACAUCAAAUUGUAUGUCUGUCCUGUGUUCAUCAUGGACAGCUGUGAUGAGCUGAUACCUGAGUACCUCAACUGCAUCCGUGGUGUGGCUGAUUCUGAGGACCUGCCCCUGAACAUCUCCCGAGAAAUGCUCCAAGAUCCUGAAUGUCAUCCAAAAGAACAUCGUGAAGAAGUGCCUUGAGCUCUUCUCUGAGUUGGCUGAAGACAAAGAGAACUACAAGAAAUUUUAUGAGGCAUUCUCCAAGAAUUUAAAGCUUGGACUCCAUGAGGAUUCCACUAACCAUCGCCGCCUCUCUGAGCUCCUUCGAUACCAUACCUCUCAGUCUGGAGAUGAGAUGACUUCCCUGUCAGGGUAUGUGUCUCGCAUGAAGGAGACACAGAAGCCCAUCUACUAUAUCAGUGGUGAGAGCAAAGAGCAGGUGGCCAACUCUGCCUUCGUGGAGCGUGUGUGGAAACGGGGCUUUGAGGUGGUGAAUAUGACUGAGCCCAUUGAUGAUUACUGCGUGCAGCAGCUCAAGGAGUUCAAUGGCAAGAGCCUGGUCUCCGUGACCAAGGAGGGCCUGGAGCUACCAGAGGAUGAGGAAGAGAAGAAGAAAAUGGAGGAGAGCCAGACAAAGUUUGAGAAUCUCUGCAAGCUCAUGAAGGAGAUCUUGGACAAGAAGGUUGAAAAAGUGACUAUCCCCAGUAGGCUUGUGUCUUCACCCUGCUGCAUUGUGACAAGCACCUGUGGCUGGACAGCCAACAUGGAACGGAUCAUGAAGGCCCGGGCACUGCGAGACAAUUCUACAAUGGAAUACGUGAUGGCCAAGAAGCACCUAGACAUCAACCCUGACCACCCCAUGGUGGAGACUCUGCGGCAGAAGGCUGAGGCAGACACAAAUGACAAAGCUGUCAAAGACCUGGUGGUGCUGCUGUUUGAGACUGCUCUGCUCUCCUCUGGCUUCUCACUUGAGGACCCCCAAACCCACUCCAACUGCAUCUACUGCAUGAUUAAACUAGGCCUGGGCAUUGAUGAAGAUGAGGUCACUGCAGAAGAGCUCAGUGCUGCUGUUCGUGAAGAGAUCCCCCCAUGGAGGGUGAUGAGGAUGCCUCUGGCAUGGAAGAAGUGGAUUAAAGGCUCCUGGGAAGCCCCUGCCCUCUGUAUAGUAUCCCUGGGGCUCCCCCAACAGCCUUGACUGGCCCUGACCCACCUGGCUCUCUGCUCAUGUCUACAAGAAUCUCUUCUAUCCUGUCCUUGUGCCUUAAGGCAGCAAGAUCCCCUCCCACAGAAUAGCAGGGUUGGGUGUUGUGUAUUGUGUUUUUUUUAUUUCUUUUAUUUUGUUUUGAAAUUAAAAGUAUGCAAAAUAAA